rnacentral:rRNA from 1 species
UACGAAGGGAGCUAGCGUUGUUCGGAAUCACUGGGCGUAAGGCGCACGUAGGCGGAUUUGUCAGUCAGGGGUGAAAUCCCGGGGCUCAACCUCGGAACUGCCUUUGAUACAGCAAGUCUUGAGUUCGAGAGAGGUGGGUGGAAUUCCUAGUGUAGAGGUGAAAUUCGUAGAUAUUAGGAAGAACACCGGUGGCGAAGGCGGCCCACUGGCUCGAUACUGACGCUGAGGAGCGAAAGCAUGGGGAGCGAACAGG